rnacentral:rRNA from 1 species
AGUGGCGCAAGGGCGAGUAAUGCAUUCGAACGUGCCCCGAGGUGUGGGAUAGGCAUGGGAAACUGUGCGUAAUACCACAUGUGAUCUCCGGAUGAAAGCCGAAAGGCGCCUUGGGAGCGGCGAAUGUCCUAUCAGGUAGUUGGCGGGGUAAUGGCCCACCAAGCCGAAGACGGGUAGCGGGUGUGAGAGCACGGCCCGCCGCAUCGGGACUGAGACACUGCCCGGACUCCUACGGGAGGCUGCAGUAACGAAUAUUCCGCAAUGGGCGAAAGCCUGACGGAGCAAUGCCGCGUGUAGGAUGAAGCGGUUUCGCCGUGUAAACUACUGUCAGGCCCCAGGAACCAUGACCGGGGCCGGAGGAAGGGUCGGCUAACUCUGUGCCAGCAGCCGCGGUAAUACAGAGGACCCGAGCGUUAAUCGGAAUCACUGGGCUUAAAGGGUGCGUAGGCGGACCCGAAGGUGCAUCGUGAAAUCCCCCGGCUCAACCGGGGAAUUGCGGUGCAUACCACGGGUCUUGAAGUGAGUAGGGGCUGUCGGAACGCUCGGUGGGCGGUGAAAUGCGUAGAUAUCGAGCGGAACGCCGAAGGUGUAGACAGGCAGCUAGGCUCAUCUUGACGCUGAGGCACGAAAGCGUGGGGAUCAAACAGGAUUAGAUACCCUGGUAGUCCACGCCGUAAACGAUGUACACUAGAU